rnacentral:rRNA from 1 species
CGCGUAGGCGGAUAUAUAAGUUAGAUGUGAAAUCCCCGGGCUUAACCUGGGAACUGCAUUUAAUACUGUAUGACUAGAGUAGAGUAGAGGGAAGUGGAAUUUCCGGUGUAGCGGUGAAAUGCGUAGAUAUCGGAAAGAACACCGGUGGCGAAGGCGGCUUCCUGGACUCAUACUGACGCUGAGGCGCGAAAGCAUGGGAAGCAAACAGGAUUAGAUACCCUGGUAGUCCAUGCUGUAAACGAUGAAAACUAGAUGUUGGUUGGGUAAACCAAUCAGUAUCGAAGCUAACGCGAUAAGUUUUCCGCCUGGGGAGUACGGCCGCAAGGCUAAA